rnacentral:rRNA from 1 species
GACGAACGCUGGCGGCGUGCCUAACACAUGCAAGUCGAACGAGGUCCAUCCUUCGGGAGAAGACCUAGUGGCGAACGGGUGAGUAACACGUGAGAAACCUGCCCCGAAGACCGGGAUAACCCUCCGAAAGGAGAGCUAAUACCGGAUGCCCCCCACCGAGCCGCAUGGCUUGGUGAGGAAAUGGAUUCCGCUUCGGGAGGGUCCCGCGGCCUAUCAGCUAGUUGGUGGGGUAACGGCCCACCAAGGCAUCGACGGGGUAGCUGGUCUGAGAGGACGAUCAGCCACACUGGGACUGAGACACGGCCCAGACUCCUACGGGAGGCAGCAGUGGGGAAUCUUACGCAAUGGGCGAAAGCCUGACGCAGCAACGCCGCGUGGGGGGAUGAAGGCUCUCGGGUUGUAAACCCUUCAGCAGGACGAAAUCAGACGGUACCUGCAGAAGAAGACUCCGGCUAACUACGUGCCAGCAGCCGCGGUAAU